UCCCACCGGCUGGCUAACACAAUCGCCGCCACAGUUAGGGGAGGCAAGUACUAUUUCAUCAAAAAAAUCUCCAAAAAUCUACCAUCCCUUCCUUUCACCCUCCUCUACAAAAAGUCGCAAAUCAUUCAUCCUUAUCCAUAUCCCAAAUCCAUAGAUCUAAGAAAACCAAAUAUAGAUCUUCACUUUUUCUUUAGAUUUACAAUGUUUAGAUCAACCCAAUUCCAUACCCUUUACAUAUAUGUGUAGAGCUCAAGGGCUAACGUUUGAUAUAAAUUUUAUGUCCAAAAUCCAUCAAAAAAAAUUCCAGCGGAGUUUUUCGGCGACCCCCAUUCACCCGAAGAUUUAUGUCAAUCUUUUCCCCUCUUGUUAUCUAUCCAAAUCCGUCAUAUCACAUUUUUUAACUAUAUAAGUAGUUUUGGUGCCAGAUUUGUAUUGUGUUGUUAUUGUUCUUUAAGUUUUAUCAUUUUUAAAAUUUUUCUUGAAUUUCGUUUGUUUUUUAUUUUUAUUUUCUACCUUAUUUAUUGUGUUUGAUCUUCAAAAUAGUUUAGAUGUUUGGAUUUUGUGUUAGUAACCUAUUAUUAACACAAAAUCCAAACAUCUAAACUAUUUUGAAGAUUAAACACAACAAAUAAGGUAGAAAAUAAAAAAAAAAUAAAAACAUAAUUUAAAAAAUAAAAUUCAACAAAAAGUUUCAACAUGAUAAAACAUAAAGAACACUAACAAAAUAAUACAAAUCUAACACGAAAAUGACUUAUAUGGUUAAAAAUGUGAUAAUUUAAAAUUUGGAUAGAGGAUGAGAUGGGGGGGGAUGACAUGAUUUUUCGGGUUAAUGGGGUCACCGAAACUCUGUCGGAAUUUUUUUUGAAGUAUUUUGAACAUAAAAUUUAUAUCAAAGAAAAAAGUGAAGAUUUAUAUUUUCUUUAUCUUAGAUAUAUGGAUUUUGGAUAUGGAUAAGAAUGAAUGAUUUACAGAUUUGUUUAGAGGGGGGUGAAAGGAAGAUAUGAUAAAUUUUUGAAGAUUUUACCGAUGAAAUGGUGGCGGCGACCGGCCGGUGGGGAUCGUGGUAGUAAGGGGAUAGUAGAAACAAAAAAAUAAGGACAAAAUUCUGAUUUUUGGGAGUUUACGUUUUAUUUUUUGGUAGGGUUACAUAAUAGCCCUUGGAUCAACAUAUCAUGAAUGGUUGAGAUUCAAUCUUGACCAUUUCUAUUGGAUCGGGUCAAAAUCGAUAAGGGUAUGAGAAUUUUGUUUAAAUCAAUCAAAUUCAAUCAAAAUUGGGUCAUUUGGGACAAUUGGAAAAAAAUAAUACAAACAAAGACAAAACCCAAAAUACAAAUAAAUUAUAGGAAUAUACAUUACUAUAUAUUGUAGUAGUAAAAUAAACACGUCAAAAAUUAGGUUUUCACACUCAUGUCCUAUAACAAUGUGCCCCCAUAGGUUUGUCUUAGAUAGACAUUAGCUAGUGGAUCCACUUUAGCUCAAGCUUAUGGUUUUUUCCUUGGCAAGUAAGGACAUCUCUUUUUGGUGUGGAAUAAACACUGGAUGACAUGUUAUAGAUCACAUGGUCUAUGCCCGUUGAAGGCAAACUUUCCACAAUAAUGAACUAAGUCAUUGAAGGCUUUUGAGACAACUUUGAAGGAAAACUUGGAAUCCUCAUUCAUCCAAGUUGGGUAGGUCCUCACUUUCCGAGGGCAAUGUCACUAUCAAGCUAUCAAUGUUGUUCUAGUCUUAAAGACAAUAUGUUCAUUUCUUUCAUUUGAGUGUUAAAGAUUGUAUAGCCUAUAUGUAGUUUUAUUGUAUUGAUGUAUGGGCUAUGCUCGAUUGUUAUACUCUUGUUUAGAUGCUUAUGAGAUUCCUAUACGAAGGGUCUAUGUUUAAUUGAUAUGAAUAUAUAUUAUGUGUAUCGUAGAGGUCUAUGUAAACCUUAAGAUAUAUAUACGAAAGUUUAAAAAUUUUCUGCAGUUUAACCUAUGAAUGUAAUGAUGUAAGCUAAGAGGCUACUCUUAAUCCUCAAAGAAGAUGAUGACGUCGAUUACGUCUAGGGGGUGCUCCCCAGAUGUGAUAAUAAAUGUC
rnacentral:lncRNA from 1 species